GAUGAACACUGGCGGCGUGCUUAACACAUGCAAGUCGAACGAAGCACUUUAUUUGAUUUUCUUCGGAAAUGAAGAUCUUGUGACUGAGUGGCGGACGGGUGAGUAACGCGUGGAUAACCUGCCUCACACAGGGGGAUAACAGUUAGAAAUGACUGCUAAUACCGCAUAAGCGCACAGUACCGCAUGGUACGGUGUGAAAAACUCCGGUGGUGUGAGAUGGAUCCGCGUCUGAUUAGCCAGUUGGCGGGGUAACGGCCCACCAAAGCGACGAUCAGUAGCCGACCUGAGAGGGUGACCGGCCACAUUGGGACUGAGACACGGCCCAAACUCCUACGGGAGGCAGCAGUGGGGAAUAUUGCGCAAUGGGGGAAACCCUGACGCAGCGACGCCGCGUGAGCGAUGAAGUAUUUCGGUAUGUAAAGCUCUAUCAGCAGGGAAGAAAAAAAUGACGGUACCUGACUAAGAAGCCCCGGCUAACUACGUGCCAGCCGCCGCAGUAA
rnacentral:rRNA from 1 species